GGCCUCCUUGUUUGAUACCCUGUGAGAGGAUGGAUCUUGGCUGACAGAACGGAUCAGAGGGACCCCUCCUGACCUUAUGGUGGGGCUGCUGUGGGGAACCUGGUGACAGUAUUUUUUGUGGUUUCUGUAGCUCCAGCCCCUCAGAAGGGACGCCUACAGUUGGCAGCUAUGGCUGUACCCCUCAGUCAUUGCCCAAGUUCCAGCAUCCUUCCCAUGAACUGCUCAAGGAAAAUGGCUUCACACAACACGUCUACCAUAAGUAUCGUAGGCGCUGCCUUAAUGAGCGGAAGCGCUUGGGCAUUGGCCAGUCUCAGGAGAUGAACACACUCUUCCGCUUCUGGUCCUUCUUCCUCCGAGAUCACUUCAACAAAAAGAUGUAUGAGGAGUUCAAGCAGCUGGCUCUGGAGGACGCCAAAGAAGGCUACAGAUAUGGUUUGGAGUGCCUUUUUCGAUACUAUAGUUAUGGCCUGGAAAAGAAGUUCCGGCUGGACAUAUUCAAGGAUUUUCAGGAGGAAACGGUGAAGGACUAUGA
rnacentral:sRNA from 1 species